rnacentral:rRNA from 1 species
GACGAACGCUGGCGGCGUGCUUAACACAUGCAAGUCGAACGCUGAAGCUCAGCUUUUGUUGGGUGGAUGAGUGGCGAACGGGUGAGUAACACGUGAGUAACCUGCCCCCUUCUUUGGGAUAACGCCCGGAAACGGGUGCUAAUACUGGAUAUUCACUGGUCUUCGCAUGGGGGUUGGUGGAAAGGGUUUUUCUGGUGGGGGAUGGGCUCGCGGCCUAUCAGCUUGUUGGUGGGGUGAUGGCCUACCAAGGCUAUGACGGGUAGCCGGCCUGAGAGGGUGACCGGUCACAUUGGGACUGAGAUACGGCCCAGACUCCUACGGGAGGCAGCAGUGGGGAAUAUUGCACAAUGGGCGCAAGCCUGAUGCAGCGACGCCGCGUGAGGGAUGGAGGCCUUCGGGUUGUGAACCUCUUUCGCUCAUGGUCAAGCCGCAACAAUGGUUGUGGUGAGGGUAGUGGGUAAAGAAGCGCCGGCUAACUACGUG